UACGAAGGGGGCGAGCGUUUGUUCGGAUUUACUGGGCGUAAGGCGCGCAGGCGGCUAUCCAAGUCAGGCGUGAAAGCCCCGGGCUUAACCUGGGAGGUGCGUCUGGGACUGGGUGGCUAGAGUGCGGUAGGGGAGACUGGAAUUCCUGGUGUAGCGGUGAAAUGCGCAGAUAUCAGGAGGAACACCGGUGGCGAAGGCGGGUCUCUGGGCCGUAACUGACGCUGAGGAGCGAAAGCGUGGGGAGCGAACAGG
rnacentral:rRNA from 1 species